rnacentral:rRNA from 1 species
CCAAUCGCGUAUAUUAAAGUUGUUGCAGUUAAAAAGCUCGUAGUUGAAUUUCGGGAUCAAGGGAUCGGUCAUGCCUUGGUAUGUACUGGUUUCAUUGGUUCUCACCUUCUAAAGAACCAUGAUGUCAUUCAUUUGAUGUUAUGGGGAAUUAGGACUGUUACCUUGAAAAAAUUAGAGUGUUUAAAGCAAGCUUACGCUUGAAUACAUUAGCAUGGAAUAAUGAAAUAGGACAUCAGAUUCUAUUUUGUUGGUUUCUAGGAUCGAUGUAAUGAUUAAUAGGGAUAGUUGGGGGCAUUAGUAUUCAAUUGUCAGAGGUGAAAUUCUUGGAUUUAUUGAAGACUAACUACUGCGAAAGCAUUUGCCAAGGAUGUUUUCAUUAAUCAAGAACGAAAGUUAGGGGAUCGAAGACGAUCAGAUACCGUCGUAGUCUUAACCAUAAACUAUGCCGACUAGGGAUCGGAUGAUGUUAAUUUUUUAAUGACUCAUUCGGCACCUUACG